GGAUGCGAUCAUACCAACAUUAAUAUACCGGACCCUAUCAGAAUUUUGCAGUUAAACAUGUUUGGACGAGAGUAGUAUUAGGAUGGGUGACCUUCCGAAAAAUUCUCGUGUUGCAUCUC
rnacentral:rRNA from 1 species